AUACUUACCUGGACGGGGUCGAUGGGCGAUCAAGAUGGCCCAUGGCCUAGAUCAGUGGCCCACAUUGCACUUGGUGGGUGCGCUGGUCUACCAUCUCCCCAAGUGGGAGAGUGGACGUCAUAAUUUGUGGUAGAGGGGGUACGCGUUCGCGCGGCCCCCGC
rnacentral:snRNA from 2 species